rnacentral:rRNA from 1 species
GACGUAGGGUCCAAGCGUUGUCCGGAUUUAUUGGGCGUAAAGAGCGCGUAGGCGGCCGAGUAAGUCCGACGUGAAAUCUGGAGGCUCAACCUCCAGCGGUCGUUGGAAACUACUCGGCUAGAGUCCGGAAGAGGAGAGUGGAAUUCCUGGUGUAGCGGUGAAAUGCGCAGAUAUCAGGAAGAACACCGAUGGCGAAAGCAGCUCUCCGGGACGGUACUGACGCUGAGGCGCGAAAGCGUGGGGAGCGAACAGG